rnacentral:rRNA from 1 species
GACCCUAUAGAGUUUAAUAUUUAAUUAAUAAAUUAUUUUUUAGAAUUUAAUAUUAAUUUAUUGAUUAAUUAUUUGAUUGGGGUGAUUGAAAAAUUUAAGUAACUUUUUUUAUAUAAAAACAUUAAUUUAUGAUUGUUUGAUCCAUUAUUUAUGAUUAUAAGAUUAAAUUACCUUAGGGAUAACAGCGUAAUUUUUUUUAAGAGUUCAAAUCGAAAAAAAAGAUUGCGACCUCGAUGUUGGAUUAAAAUUUAUUUUUGGUGUAGGAGCUAAAUUUAUUGGGUCUGUUCGACCUUUAAAAUUUUACAUGAUCUGA